AGGCAUAUCAGCUACAAGAAGCAAUCCUGAGAUGAAGUCUUUGUGACCUUGCCAUUGAGCUCGCCCAUCACAGACCAGGUCCUGCCACUCCCCAAUCAAAACAAAACAAAACCUCCAGGAAGGCCACCUGCUAGCCUAAGCCUAUCCUAGAUGGCUCCUGACACAGUAACUAUCCCAGAGUUGGGGGCUUGGACAGACAUCCUCAGGAUUCCUACAUAUGGUACCUUGUGCCUCCAGGACGGUGGAGAUGAAAGCCCAGCAGGACAGGUCAAGAUUCUAGCACCCCUGUGGUGUGCUUCAGGACUCUGAAGACCCGGAACACUUCAGACCACUCACAUGAGUUUUGGGGGAGGGGUUGAAGAAGUGACCUUGAACGUUGUUGUUCAUUUCCUUUAUAUUCUGCUUCCCUCCUUUCCUGUACACAUGCCCAGCUCUAUUGUCCAGCGGGGGAUCCACCCACAGGACUGAAUCCACAAGGUCACCUGACAGAGGACCCAAAAGCAAGUGAGAAGCUUGGGCUAUCCCCCAGCCUCAGCCAGAAGGCAGUCAUCAUCCCUUUUGGUGACUGUUAGUUAACAGUGCCCCUUACCUGUUGGAAUUCCU
rnacentral:lncRNA from 1 species